CCUCCCCUUUGCGGCCAAAGUAACACACAGGGCAGGUGAUGCUAAUAGCCCUGGGGUGGGGUUAUUGACAGCUUUCCCCACCUCUCUCUUCCUCCCUCUCUCAUCACAGCCCCCAGCACAGCAUGGGGGGAAAACCAAACGCUCCACCUGAAGUCCCUGUGCUGCCUGUUUGCUGGUUGUCCCGGAGGAGAAAGGGGAUUAGCCUGCAUCAUCGUUUUGAUCCUCGGAGAGCUACAGGAAUCUUGAGACCCCUCCAGAGAGGAGCUUCCGCGCUUGUGAGAAGAUCAUUGGAGCCAGGUGGUGGACACAGCUCAUGGCCAGGCUGGGUUCUUCCUGACUUUGGCCUUGGACAUCUAAAUGGCUGGAGCAAAAUUUUGUGUGCUUCUGUGUCCUCAGGUGGAGCAGGUAGAAGCUCCCAAAAGCCUGCAUCGAUCUGGGAAACAGCAGAGAAGGUUCCUGGUCUCCUGGCUGCCCCGGGACUGCAGUGACGUUUCCCUGGAAGCUACUCUCUCCCUUCCCCCCUCCAAGCAAAAAGGCUUUGGAUUCUCCUCCGCGUGCGGACUGGAGAAUCCCCUGGGAAGAGCUGGGGCAGGAAGGCAGCAGCAUGUUCUGGCUGCAAAAAGGAGGCAGAGGAGAAGUCCUGCGCCUGCCUGGCGCAGUGUAGCCUCCAGGGAUUAAUUAAAGGCUUUUUCAGUUUUC